AGGAAGCUGCUCAGAGCUGUACCCCUGAAAAGGGAGAAUAAAUCAAGGAAGAGGAAGAUGCGGAAUUCUGGAACCAGGGGAUCCAACCCCAGAAGGAGAGAGGCUGAGGAGCGUCCCCAGGGAGGUGCCCAUCCGGAUGAUCGGAGAAAGGCCUGGGGUUGAAUUAAUGAUGAGAUCACAGGUCACAGGCCCUGGGUAACUCAACAAACAGGACCACUGUUAACUGGCAGCAAAACCCAGGCCUGCCUGCUGCCUCACAGCCCUCAGAGUUAGCCACAACCAUCUGAGGAAUGUCUCCAUUCUGUGUCCCUAAGUGUGCAGGGGCACAAGAGAAGAGUCCAUCUCAGGUGGGCCAAGGGCCACCCCCACCCCUCACAGUCCUUCCUGCCACAGAGACCCCAACCCAUGGGGCACCCAGGAUUGGGCUCUGCCGACUGGAAGAUCCCCAAGGACACACAUCCCCUUCUCUCUUUCUGAAAAUGCUGUCCUAGAGCAGAAUGCGGAAAUCAAGAUGGUCCUCAAGAUAAACAUACACAUUAUGAAACCAGAGGAGCUGACCUCACAGCAAAGAAGCCCACGGAAGCCCCUGGAAGGUCCCAGAUGAUGCCGGAGAUACCUGACCUUCUAAGAAGGCUCCUGGCAGAGGGCCUUCGGCACCAGUGCCCCCAACUCAGCCAGUGACAGCGCACUCCACAAAGACCCACCGCCUACUGCCUGAAAGGGCCCACCAGACCCCAUGGUGGGGGUGGGGGACCGAGACCUUCCUGACACCCAACACGCACCAGGACCCUGUGUUCCAGAAUUCAUUGUUUGUCAGCUGAUUUCUGAACAAGAAAAACUCUCUCACAGAGCCCUGGUUGGGUCCAUCACACGAGUCCUCCCCACCCUUCAGUUCUGGAAAUCUUAGAUGUCCCCUCAAGGAUACACAAGAGCCUGGUCACAGGGCAGGACAAUCAGUUUUUCCUGUCAACCUUUGCGGUGCUUGGGUUUUUGCCACAUGCGGGUAUCACUGAAGACAGGACAGAUGACGACACUGGACUCACGCAGACACUAGCCCUGAGCCUGCAGCCCAGGGGCGGGCGAGGCCCCUGCGGUCACAGGACAAGGCUGUGGCCUCGCCGCCCCCCUCCCCCACGCCGUCAGUGUGCAGGCUGGCCGCGACACAAAAAUCAACCGAGUGGCAUUACCGACGGGUUAUUAUUACACCCCGGUGCGUCCAGGGGCU